rnacentral:rRNA from 1 species
AUUGAACGCUGGCGGAAUGCUUUACACAUGCAAGUCGGACGGCAGCACGGGGGCAACCCUGGUGGCGAGUGGCGAACGGGUGAGUAAUACAUCGGAACGUGCCCAGUCGUGGGGGAUAACGUAGCGAAAGUUACGCUAAUACCGCAUACGAUCUACGGAUGAAAGCGGGGGACCGUAAGGCCUCGCGCGAUUGGAGCGGCCGAUGUCAGAUUAGGUAGUUGGUGAGGUAAAGGUUCACCAAGCCGACGAACUGUAGCUGGUCUGAGAGGACGACCAGCCACACUGGGACUGAGACACGGCCCAGACUCCUACGGGAGGCAGCAGUGGGGAGUUUUGGACAAUGGGCGCAAGCCUGAUCCAGCCAUUCCGCGUGCAGGACGAAGGCCUUCGGGUUGUAAACUGCUUUUGUACGGAACGAAAAGGCUCUGGUUAAUACCUGGGGCUCAUGACGGUACCGUAAGAAUAAGCACCGGCUAACUACGUGCCAGCAGCCGCCGUAA